rnacentral:rRNA from 1 species
UACGUAGGGGGCAAGCGUUGUCCGGAAUCAUUGGGCGUAAAGAGCGUGUAGGCGGCCAGAUAAGUCCGCUGUGAAAACUCGAGGCUCAACUUCGAGCUGUCGGCGGAAACUAUCUGGCUAGAGUCCGGAAGAGGAGAGUGGAAUUCCUGGUGUAGCGGUGAAAUGCGCAGAUAUCAGGAAGAACCACCCGUGGCGAAGGCGGCUCUCUGGGACGGUACUGACGCUGAGACGCGAAAGCGUGGGGAGCGAACAGG